rnacentral:rRNA from 1 species
UGGGGAAUUUGGACAAUGGGCGCAAGCCUGAUCCAGCAAUGCCGCGUGCAGGAUGAAGGCCUUCGGGUUGUAAACUGCUUUUGUACGGAGCGAAAAGGUCUGCCCUAAUACGGUGGGCUCAUGACGGUACCGUAAGAAUAAGCACCGGCUAACUACGUGCCAGCAGCCGCGGUAAUACGUAGGGUGCGAGCGUUAAUCGGAAUUACUGGGCGUAAAGCGUGCGCAGGCGGUUAUAUAAGACAGAGGUGAAAUCCCCGGGCUCAACCUGGGAACUGCCUUUGUGACUGCAUAGCCAGAGUACGGUAGAGGGGGAUGGAAUUCCGCGUGUAGCAGUGAAAUGCGUAGAUAUGCGGAGGAACACCGAUGGCGAAGGCAAUCCCCUGGACCUGUACUGACGCUCAUGCACGAAAGCGUGGGGAGCAAACA